rnacentral:rRNA from 1 species
UACAGAGGGUGCAAGCGUUGUUCGGAAUUAUUGGGCGUAAAGCGCGUGUAGGCGGCUUUGCAAGUCGGGUGUGAAAGCCCUCGGCUUAACCGAGGAACUGCCAUCCAGACUGCUUGGCUUGAGACCGGGAGAGGUGAGUGGAAUUCCCAGUGUAGCGGUGAAAUGCGUAGAUAUUGGGAGGAACACCAGUGGCGAAGGCGGCUCACUGGACCGGUACUGACGCUGAGGCGCGAAAGCGUGGGGAGCAAACGGG